UCUCCUGGAAACGGGUGGUAAUGCCGGAUGCUCCAGUUGAUCGCAUGGUCUUCUGGGAAAGCUUUCGCGGUAUGGGAUGGGGUCGCGUCCUAUCAGCUUGACGGCGGGGUAACGGCCCACCGUGGCUUCGACGGGUAGCCGGCCUGAGAGGGCGACCGGCCACAUUGGGACUGAGAUACGGCCCAGACUCCUACGGGAGGCAGCAGUGGGGAAUAUUGCACAAUGGGCGCAAGCCUGAUGCAGCGACGCCGCGUGAGGGAUGGAGGCCUUCGGGUUGUAAACCUCUUUUAUCGGGGAGCAAGCGAGAGUGAGUUUACCCGUUGAAUAAGCACCGGCUAACUACGUGCCAGCAGCCGCGGUAAUACGUAGGGUGCAAGCGUUAUCCGGAAUUAUUGGGCGUAAAGGGCUCGUAGGCGGUUCGUCGCGUCCGGUGUGAAAGUCCAUCGCUUAACGGUGGAUCCGCGCCGGGUACGGGCGGGCUUGAGUGCGGUAGGGGAGACUGGAAUUCCCGGUGUAACGGUGG
rnacentral:rRNA from 1 species